UUGAACGCUGGCGGCAGGCCUAACACAUGCAAGUCGAAUGGUAACAGGAAACAGCUUGCUGUUUCGCUGACGAGUGGCGGACGGGUGAGUAAUGUCUGGGAAACUGCCUGAUGGAGGGGGAUAACUACUGGAAACGGUAGCUAAUACCGCAUAACGUCGCAAGACCAAAGAGGGGGACCUUCGGGCCUCUUGCCGUCAGAUGUGCCCAGAUGGGAUUAGCUAGUAGGUGGGGUAACGGCUCACCUAGGCGACGAUCCCUAGCUGGUCUGAGAGGAUGACCAGCCACACUGGAACUGAGACACGGUCCAGACUCCUACGGGAGGCAGCAGUGGGGAAUAUUGCACAAUGGGCGCAAGCCUGAUGCAGCCAUGCCGCGUGUAUGAAGAAGGCCUUCGGGUUGUAAAGUACUUUCAGCGGGGAGGAAGGGAGUAAAGUUAAUACCUUUGCUCAUUGACGUUACCCGCAGAAGAAGCACCGGCUAACUCCGUG
rnacentral:rRNA from 1 species